rnacentral:tRNA from 1 species
UGUCAAGGGAUGGGAAUCGAACCCACGACCUUCCGCUGACCGGGCAGAUGCCAUGACCACUAGGCUACCCUGGAC